GUGAUAAGGUUCCCCCUUGGGUCAUUCAGAUAACAAUUUCAAUGUGGUCAUAAUAAUAUAAUCAUCUAUAAUAAUUUUUCUACUCAAAGUUUAAGAAAAAAGGUUUUGGAAAGGUUGAAAAAUAUUUUCGAAAAAUAGUCUAAAAAAAGUUUGCAUCAUUGAUGAGUACUUGAUGAUGACUACUCUACCACUGUACUAGUGUACUCUAUUGUGCUCUGCUUUAAUCUACUGUUUGAGGCUUCUCUGUUCUCCCCUCGUCUCCUCUCCUUUCACUGUGUGGAAAAAAAGUUUUGAAAGGUUGAAAAAAUAUUUUCUAAAAAAUGUUUCGAAAUGUUGAAAAAAUAUUUUCUACAAAAAAAUUGUAUAAUUGACGAGUACUUGAUGAUGACUACUAUACUUUACUGAACUCUAUUGUACUAUGCUUAAAGGCAGGGUAGGCAAUGUUGUUGAGAAGCACUUUUUGUCUUAUUUGCCGUAAGUAAUUUCAUAUCUUGAUAGGAACCAAUAUAUCUAAAGGUGCUCUCUGCCCCUCCACUCUGGUCUUAACUGUAGUUUUGGGGCACUGGCUUUGAAGGGAGGAGGUGGGAUAUUUUUAUUUGAAUUGUGUCCAACCGAAAAUAGCUCGCUUCGCGCAACUUGCCUAUCCUGCCUUUAAGACUGGGUGCUCCUCUCCCUUUACAGUGUGAACAAAGUUUCAAAAGCUUGAUUUUAUUUCUUCUAAAAAUACAUUUUGAAAGUUUGAAAAAACUACCUUACAUGUGUUGUGCGUGAUAGGCAGGAACUGUCUAUUGUCUAUAGAAAAUAAUAUUGAUCAUGCCCAAAUACAGAUUCUAACUGAAGUCAUGUCCUCCUGCCAGCACCUUCGCUGUACCGAAUCCCCGGACCAUACACUUUUGAUUCUAGUUUCUAAGCGACCGUUUAAGUGACACCCUUUGAGAAAGUUUGUUUGGAAAGUUUCGCUAGCAUAGUUAGUGAACAUAGGCAUACUUAUAAAAAUAUAUAAAUAGCGAGCAGUGUGGACAGAGCUAAACCCAGGAGUCACAAUCUAGACCUUAAACUUUCCCAAUGUUUUGUCAGACAUGGAAGCGUAUUUUCAGAGCUCAAAGUCUGAGGAGAGUUACUUCUACCAGAGAGGUUAGCCGAGCCCAGUUCUGCAGCGCUGGCGACGGAGGGAGAAACACGACCUCUGCAGAGAAAGGAGGGACGGUGUCCGGGCAGACUGUGGUCUCUGCCAGGCGAGGGGCGGUGGUUACUGUGGCGAUAAACCGUCCGGAGGUGCGUAACGCGGUGAACCGGGAGACUGCGGCGAGGCUGUUGGACGAGCUGUCUGCCUUCGACCGCGACCCCCAGCUGAGUGUGGCGAUUCUCCAUGGAAACGGAGGGAAUUUCUGUGCUGGUUACGAUCUGAAAGAGCUGGCCAAUCAUACGGCCUCCGUCAAAUUGGAGCAAGAUGUCACCAAAGGCCAUGGUCCUAUGGGCCCCUCCAGGCUGCAGCUGUCUAAGCCCCUGAUAGCAGCGGUCAGUGGCUACGCGGUGGCUGGAGGGCUGGAGCUGGCUCUGCUGGCUGACCUCAGGGUGCUGGAGGAGAGCGCCAUCAUGGGGGUGUUCUGUCGCAGGUUUGGAGUUCCUCUGAUCGACGGCGGCACUGUCCGCCUCCCCCACCUCAUUGGCUUAUCCCGGGCCAUGGACCUCAUUCUGACUGGUCGGCCAAUCGGUGCACAGGAGGCCCUGGCCUUCGGAUUGGCUAACAGAGUGGUGCCGGAUGGUCAUGCCCUGCAGGCAGCUCUGGAGUUGGCUGAGCAGAUCAGCUCGUUCCCCCAGCAGUGUCUGCGUGCCGACCGCUCCUCUGCUCUCCACAGCGUGUACGCCGCCGCCUCGCUCCCCGCCGCCAUGCAGUACGAGGCCCAGCAGGGGGCGCCGGUCCUCCGGGACGAGGCCGUCGCCGGGGCAACCAGCUUUACCUGCGGAGUGGGGAGAGGUGGAAGGUUCACCUGAGGGAGCGACACCUAAUGGAGGAGGUGAAGAGGCGUGAGGGUUAUCUGGCACAGCAUAGAAGUAGAAAGCAGUUGUCAAGGCAUCAACAGACUCUGUCCCUCUCUUCCUCCUGCCUCUAAUCUGUGAUGCUUCCCCAGUGAAUAUUUGGAUCUGACCUCCUUCCUCCUCACCUGUCUUGCCACCAUGCGGAGGACCCAGAUCUGUGUGUUGCUUUCAGAUGUAUUAACACCAGAGAUGGCAAAAGUACACACAUCUCAAGUAGAAGUACAUAUACUCAUGUUUAAAAAGACUGUUGAAGUGAUGACUUGUAAAUAAACAUUGUCUACCGGUCAAGAAAAAAGGAACAAUGUGUUUUCAUUGUUAAACUUUCCUAGAUACGAUUACACAACUACUGUCAGGACAGUCUUCUACUGAAGACCAGGAC